rnacentral:rRNA from 1 species
UACGUAGGGCGCGAGCGUUGUCCGGAAUUAUUGGGCGGAAAGAGCUCGUAGGCGGCCUGUUGCGUCCGCUGUGAAAGCCCGGGGCUUAACCCCGGGUCUGCAGUGGAUACGGGCAGGCUAGAGGUAGGUAGGGGAGAAUGGAAUUCCCGGUGUAGCGGUGAAAUGCGCAGAUAUCGGGAGGAACACCGGUGGCGAAGGCGGUUCUCUGGGCCUUACCUGACGCUGAGGAGCGAAAGCGUGGGGAGCGAACAGG